GCUAUUUGCCAUUUUUAUGCAGUAUGAACUUUUAAUAACUAUACAAUUUCUCAAACUAACCAACUUAUUUUGUUCUGCAAGACCUAUGAAUGGACUUGUUUGCUUUCGUUGAUUGCUUCAAUCACCUCUGUUUUUAUAUAUUUGAACUUCGAGUUAUGUUUAUGAGCUCUCCCUAUUUUCCUUUACAUUGAUCCGAAUGUUACUAUUUGGUCAGGGGUAAAGAGACUGAGUUCUACAUUGAACCUGAACUGACUCUAGAGCUGAUGAUGGCUGCUAAUUAUCUCCAUACUUGAGCCAAUUAGUUUCCUUGCUUCUUGGGUUAUGUGCCCUGUUUAAAACUAAUUACUCCAGGGACAUAUUGUUGCUCAAGAAGAGUAUCUGUGCCAUGCAUUUUAGCUCUCUUCUCCACUGCUAAGUGGUGUAUUUACAAUUUCCUCAUGUGGUUGUGUUAACUUAGAACACAGACUUGUGUAGGCAAAUGAAUGCAGUUAUUGCAGGAUGUAUAAUUGCUACCGUACACCAAAUUAACUUGAGCACAAUCUUAAGAUGUGACUGUUAUGGACUAAUUGUAUGUGCAUGGAUAUAUCUUCCUCUGCACUCUUGUAACCUCGUAUUUUUACCAUAAGAUAUAACAAGACCUUCUUUAUUGGAUU